CCAGCAGGGAGCCUGCACCGAUCGCAGGAGACCACUGGGGGUCGGCUCCUGUGAUUGGUAGCAGGGACAGCUGGGUGC